UAACUCUGAAUAAUGCAAACACUGGGUGCCAUCAACCUCAGCCUGCAGCCAGAGGAAAGUGCUCAGGAAAGUGUGUCUGAGCUCCCCACAGCCCUGUGAUGCAACUUGCUUGCUCAGCAACGAUGGGACAUCAACUGUCUAAUUGCACAGAGAUGACAGUUUUAUUUUGCUUCCAAUACUCUCCCUUAUCUCACCUGGAGUGAGCACAUGGCCACAUGGUGCUGAGCUGCUGCAAGGUUACACCACAACAGAUGGAGGACAUACACUCACACAUUUCUCCUGGACGCUUCCCCAGCACACAGAAGCACCAAUCUUGACAUUUCAACUUGUGCCACACCUGUGAUACUACUAUGGAUGCACCUCAAAAACCUCUCCCAUCCAGACUGCUGUUACAGGACAGCAGCCUAUGAAAAUCAUUUGAACAGGUUACCUAAGCAGCCUACUCCCUUCUCCACAUCUUGGCUCUUCACCGAGUACAAAGUUCACUUAUCCACAGCAGAUGCCUGGAUACUUUUCCCUUUCUGACCACAGUUCCCAUCACAGCUGCACACAACCUUCUGCAGAAGCCAGGUUCCCAAAGCCACACAACCCACUCCUACCAGUGACACGAAUGACCACAGACCCAGGCACAAACUUCC
ensembl:lncRNA